UACAGAGAGUGCGAACGUUGUUCGGAAUUACUGGGCUUAAAAGCGCACGUAGCGGCGCCGCAAGUGUUGGGUGAAAUCCCACGGCUUACCCGUGGAACUGCCUGGCAGACUGCGGUGCUAGAGGAUGGUAGGGGAGAGCGGAACUCCUGGUGGAGCGGUGAAAUGCGUAGAUAUCAGGAGGAACACCGGUGGCGGAAGGCGGCUCUCUGGUC
rnacentral:rRNA from 1 species